UAAUCGAAAGCGAAGACGACGUCGGAGCAAACGCAAAACAAAACGUCCCAGACGAGUCAACCGGUAUCAAAUAAUUCUUAGCCGGUAAAUCCAGUUUCUUCCCGUUAGUAAAAUGAAACGACACCGUUGGCACCUGCACACUCUUCCUUUUAGACAAAUCAUAACAAGUAUCAAACAACGCCACACCGGUUGCCGCCGGUAACUCCUUCGUCCCCUUCGUAAACGCAUCUCGCAACACGUUAUACGCUUCCGUCUGCAACCGAGUAAUCGCCGUACCGGAGUCAACAAUCACACCGGAGUUACCGUCGUUAGUCAACUUAAACGUCGAUGACGGAAUAUUCAACAGCUGACCAGCAACACUUAUACCUGUUAAUCCGAUAUAGUAAAACGUGUCAAGCUUUGAGUUACGUAACAACGGAGCGGUUAUCGCGUCGUGAGGAAUCGGUGAGUUGAACUCGAGAGUUGACGCCGAGUCGGAAUCGCGGUCCACAAGGCAGUAAGAGUAUGACGUGGCGUUUAUUUGUGACGGAAAUGAUAACCGUCCACCGCCUAAUCCGAUUAAUCCGGCAGCUCCGACGAAUAAUCCUUCGUUGUUAUGUCCACAUCCGAUGGCGAUAUUCUCAACGGUUGUAGAUCCUUGAAGCGUUAGCGUCUCCGUCACGAAAUCUCCGACGGUGUAGGAUCCGUCGCCGUACGACACUUCGUACAGGCACGUGCCGUUUCUGCACUCCGAAACGUCUAGAGAUUUGCACUGGUGAGCGUCGCACGUGAGAGGAGAAUACGAAGAGGAUGAAGCCGGCUCGAAAAUAGGAUCGGCUUGCUGGUAGCAAUCGGCGCAUGGUGCGCAUUGUAGCCAGUUGACGUCACUUCCGGUGUCUAGCACCAUAUAAGCUUGACUCGCUGGAUGACCGAUUCCGACUCGGCAGAAAUACUCUCCGCUUCCUUGACUCGUACCGGAAACAACCGGAACUUCUAAAUUUUCAACCGAAAGCUCAGUGUCAACCGGUUUCAGAUCUGACUUCUUGACGCCGUUUACAGCUAGAUCUAACCUCGUUUGAAGCGACUCAACUCGCGCUGAGUCACGAGCGAGUCGAGCUAGCGUAACUGACUUAUAACUUUUGUGUGAGGAUUUGUGAACGGCGACUCGAGAAUGCAGUUGCAGAGACAGAAUCGAAGAGGAAGAAGAUGAAGAAGAAAGUUCAGAUGACGUCAGCAUUUGAGAUUGUUGAGGUUGAGGUGAGAAUGAUAACACAUUGAGAGAUUUCUGGAUUGAGUCGGUGACGUCGAGCUCCGAUGUGGAUACGGUGGUGGCUGGUGAGAUGGUGCGGGGGUGAACGGUGGAGAAUGCGAAGGUGAAGAGGAUACAGAGGAGAUGAAACCCUAAUUUCGCCAUUGAAGAGUGUGGAGUGAAGAGUGAGGAAGGGGAAAGGUGGAUAUAUAGAGGGGAAAUACGUUGAUGAUUAUUAUUAUAUUAAGAUUUAAAGGUGUCAUUCUCGUUGAUUUGUUGCUUAAAAUCUAUUUCUUUGCGUUGGUCAAACAAAUUUUUGCGCGAUUAUCGAUUAAUUACUAGUUUAAUCCAUUUGAUUUUGACACUUGUUACUUUUUCUUUUUUCUUCGUAUUUUUAUAUUUAACGUUUUCUUCACAUUUUUUUUAUUUAACAAAGGAAUACAUGUAUGUUAACUUAACUGUUACUAGGGGUUAUUGUAGUCACGCCACACGGUUAAAACAGAGCAAAUAAUAAUAUAAAACAAAUGUGAUUUGAAAAUGAAACAUGUUAUUUAGAAAGCCAAAUUGUCAGAAUUGAUUUGUUUUAUCAUUGUACCGUGCAACGAUACCAACUAAAUACUCUCUUUUGAAUGCAAUUUCAUUUUAACAAAACUUAUACCGGAAUGUUGCGAGAAAAAAAUUAAAAACAACUACGUACUUAAGUUUUUAGAGAAAAGAAUUAACUAACGUAAGCUACUACAGAAUUAAUUGAUAAAGAAAAUAUAAUUUAAUAA
rnacentral:lncRNA from 1 species